AACGAACGCUGGCGGCAUGCCUGACACAUGCAAGUCGAACGAGACCUUCGGGUCUAGUGGCGCACGGGUGCGUAACGCGUGGGAACCUGCCCUUAGGUUCGGAACAACUCCCCGAAAGGGGUGCUAAUACCGGAUAAUGUCUUCGGACCAAAGAUUUAUCGCCUUUGGAUGGGCCCGCGUUGGAUUAGCUAGUUGGUAGGGUAAAAGCCUACCAAGGCGACGAUCCAUAGCUGGUCUGAGAGGAUGAUCAGCCACACUGGGACUGAGACACGGCCCAGACUCCUACGGGAGGCAGCAGUGGGGAAUAUUGGACAAUGGGCGAAAGCCUGAUCCAGCAAUGCCGCGUGAGUGAUGAAGGCCUUAGGGUUGUAAAGCUCUUUUACCCGGGAUGAUAAUGACAGUACCGGGAGAAUAAGCUCCGGCUAACUCCGUG
rnacentral:rRNA from 1 species